rnacentral:rRNA from 1 species
AGUCGAGCGAACGGACGAGAAGCUUGCUUCUCUGAUGUUAGCGGCGGACGGGUGAGUAACACGUGGAUAACCUACCUAUAAGACUGGGAUAACUUCGGGAAACCGGAGCUAAUACCGGAUAAUAUUUUGAACCGCAUGGUUCAAAAGUGAAAGACGGUCUUGCUGUCACUUAUAGAUGGAUCCGCGCUGCAUUAGCUAGUUGGUAAGGUAACGGCUUACCAAGGCAACGAUGCAUAGCCGACCUGAGAGGGUGAUCGGCCACACUGGAACUGAGACACGGUCCAGACUCCUACGGGAGGCAGCAGUAGGGAAUCUUCCGCAAUGGGCGAAAGCCUGGCGGAGCAACGCCGCGUGAGUGAUGAAGGUCUUCGGAUCGUAAAACUCUGUUAUUAGGGAAGAACAUAUGUGUAAGUAACUGUGCACAUCUUGACGGUACCUAAUCAGAAAGCCAUGGCUAACUACGUGCCAGCAGCCGCGGUAAUACGUAGGUGGCAAGCGUUAUCCGGAAUUAUUGGGCGUAAAGCGCGCGUAGGCGGUUUUUUAAGUCUGAUGUGAAAGCCCACGGCUCAACCGUGGAGGGUCAUUGGAAACUGGAAAACUUGAGUGCAGAAGAGGAAAGUGGAAUUCCAUGUGUAGCGGUGAAAUGCGCAGAGAUAUGGAGGAACACCAGUGGCGAAGGCGACUUUCUGGUCUGUAACUGACGCUGAUGUGCGAAAGCGUGGGGAUCAAACAGGAUUA